GAAAAAGAAACAAGAACAGUUUAAAAACAGCAACUGGGCUGCCUCUGUUAAAAAAAACAGAAAUGCGAGCAGGGUGGUUAAUUCAGCCCAGUUGUCAGUUUCAAAACUUCAUGCCCUGGGCUACCAGCCAAUUCUGUUUCUUUGACAGUUUGACCGUAAGGGCCGUAUAGUAGGGGACGUGAUCACUCAGAUCGAACCAGCGGAAGGUGCUGCACGUGACAUCCUCAUGAAGAUGAGGAAACUUUAUGAACACCUUCUGAGAAAAUUACAAGCUUCACCUCCUGCUAAAAGUUCUACACCAGCAGCUGGACCAUCCUCUGCUGACAAUGUCGAUGCUGGACCAGUCCCAGACCCAGAGGCUCUAAACGAGGAAUUUAUUCUUCAUUUAGAGCCUGUACCAACAUCUUCCCUCUGUCAACCUCCUGCAUCCUCCUCUUCAUCUCUGCUUCCUCCUGCAUCCUCCUCUCCAUCUCUGCUUCCUCCUGCAUC